AACAAACGCUGGCGGCGUGCCUAACACAUGCAAGUCGUACGAGAAAGGGUCCUUCGGGGCCUGAGUAAAGUGGCGCACGGGUGAGUAACGCGUGGAUGAUCUGCCCUUCAGUUGGGAAUAACUCAUCGAAAGGUGGGCUAAUACCGAAUAAUGCUGUGAGACCUCGGUUGAUCAGCCAAAGAGAGCCUCUGCUUGCAAGCCCUCGCUGAAGGAUGAGUCCGCGUACCAUUAGCUAGUUGGUAGGGUAAUGGCCUACCAAGGCGACGAUGGUUAGCUGGUCUGAGGGGAUGAUCAGCCACACUGGAACUGAGACACGGUCCAGACUCCUACGGGAGGCAGCAGUGAGGAAUCUUGCGCAAUGGGGGCAACCCUGACGCAGCAACGCCGCGUGAGUGAGGAAGGUCUUCGGAUCGUAAAGCUCUGUCGGAUGGAAAGAACCGCAAAGGGGUAAACAGCCCCUGUGUCUGACGGUACCAUCAAAGGAAGCACCGGCUAACUCCGUGCCAGCCGCCGCAGUAACAC
rnacentral:rRNA from 1 species